ACGUGCUACAAUGGGCGGUACAAAGAGAAUGCCAACUCGCGAGAGCGCGCCAAUCUCAGAAAAGCCAUCCUCAGUUCGGAUUGGAGUCUGCAACUCGACUCCAUGAAGUUGGAAUCGCUAGUAAUCGCGGAUCAGCACGCCGCGGUGAAUACGUUCCCGGGCCUU
rnacentral:rRNA from 1 species